CGGGGCGUGGCGCAGCCGGCCAGCGCGCUGCGUUUGGGACGCAGAGGUCGCCGGUUCGAAUCCGGCCGCCCCGA
rnacentral:tRNA from 1 species